ACAACCUUACUUCAACAUGGUAUGUUGUAUAGGCUAGCACCACCUUAUCCUUGAGCUCUAAGGAGACAAGAAACGAAGUCUGGUUGAUGAAACAGUUG
rnacentral:snoRNA from 1 species